rnacentral:tRNA from 1 species
AAGAUUUUAAGUUAAAUAUAAACUAUUAACCUUCAAAGUUAAAAUUGUAAUAAUCAAAUCUUA